rnacentral:lncRNA from 1 species
AAACCAAACCUUUCUUAAGGGUAUUUAUUUUUAUGUGCAUGAUUUCCUGUAUGUGUACCACUUGCAUUCUUAGAGCUCAUGGAGGACUGAAGAGGGUGUUGGAUCCCCUGGAACUGGAGCACAGAUGGUUGUACACUACCAUGUGGGUGCUGGGAGCUGAAUCCAGUUCCUUUGUAAGCAACAAAUGAUCUCAACUCUUUGAGCCUUCUCAGGGUUUUUCUCUGUAUAAGAACCCUGGUUGUUCUGGAACUCUCUUUGUAGACCAGGCUGGCCUUGAACUCACACAGAGAUCCACCUGCUUCCGCCUCAAGCUCUGGAGUGAAAGGCAGGCUCUACCACAGCCACAGCAUUAGAGGUUUACGAUAGACUUACGUAUCCCAGGUUGGCUUGAGCUUGUCAUGUUGCUGACAAUGACUUUGUGAACUCCUGCUUUUCCCCUGCAUCCCACCUUUCGAGUUUGAGUGUUAAAGGUGUGUGGUGCCACACUUGUUUUUGCAGUGCUAGCAAUCUACCCAAGGCUUUAUGUAUAUUGCCAACUGAGCUACAGUGUCUGCCAAGUGACCCAGGCUAGCUUACAACUCUUGAUUGUCCUGCCUCAGCUUCUUGAAUGCUAAGAUUACAGGUUAAUCACUAUACUCAUGUAGCAAAAACAUCCUUCAAUUAACUGUUGCCAUUGAUAGUAUAUGUGCUUUUAUGCCUGGCAAGAUAUUAUAUAUGGGUGAUAAUAUUCAUCAGACAAUUGAUGUACAGCAGUUCUAAAUUAUGUAUAUGAAAUUUCAGUGGGUCUUAAGACCCACUGAAAAUAAAAACUCUUUAUCUUUGACAGUGCUCCAGAUCUUAACAAUAUAUCUUUACUACAGUUUUUGUCUUGUGGUAUUGCAGUAUUCUGUCUUGGUGCGGAUUGAAUUUAGGGCCAUUUGCAUUGUAGGCAAGCACUCUGACUGAGCUAUUAUAACCUCAGUCACCCUGUUUUGAGGCAGGUCUUAUGUAGCCCUGGUUGGCUUCCAAUUAACUAUGAAACCAAGACUGGCCUUUACUCAGUCAAGUUCCUGCUUCUUUUUCUCUAGGAUUGGAUUAUAACGCAUGAACCACUGUGCCUGCUCCUUCUCAGUCCUUUUAAAUCUUUUUCUUUUGAAGUAGGGUCUACUAAGUUGUGCAGAUUGGCCCAGAACUAUGUAGCCCUUGCAGUAUUUGAACUUGAAUCUUUUUGCCUCAGUGGGCUGUAUAGCUUAGAUAACUGGCGUCAUUCAUCAUAAUAUGUCAUUACUUCAUUCUAACUUCCAUAAAUACCUGUUAGUGGAUCAACUGAAUUGCUAUUUAGAUCUACAUUUGGGGAUAGGAUUUUUGUAUGUUUCUCUUAAGGAGCGCAUAAAAGAUGUAGCUGUGCUUGAGUUGCCACAGAGCAACAUACUUAAAAUAUACAUCCUUGUCACGCUCUUCCUAGCUUUUCCCUUCUAUGUAGAUAGUCUUCAGUAUGCCUUGGUACACGCAUGUACACCAGACUUGGUGUUUUAGUCUUCCUAGAAAUAAAUGCAUCUAUACUUGUGUAAAAAUGUGAUUCUUCAACAUGCCCACUGCCCCUUAUCCCAUUUAAUUGCUGCCUUCUUUCUAUCUCAUACUUUAUACUUAGGCAGUAGUGAAUGAAUUUUCUUGUAGAACUUGUUCUGUUUUCAAUUUCUGCCUUUUAUUUGGGAUCACUCCAAAAGUAUAUUCAUUAAAAUUAAUCCUCUGGAUUCUUUACAUCCCUGGUCUUUUAAACAAAAUUGUCUCCUACUUUGCUGCUACAUUGUAUAUUUCUCAGUCUUUAUAUUUACUUCUUAUGUUGGAAUUACUUUUGUAACAAUCAUUUUUUGUUACUUAUUAGAAAAAGUAAGGCCUCAAGCUCAGAACUACUGCUUUACUCAUUUGGUUUCUGUUACUUCUCCUAGUGGUUUGCACCAGCUUCAGGAAACAGUUAUUACAAAAAAUAGAGCAUGAAAGAGUGGAUGGGUUUUAUAAGGAUCUGUUUUAAUUCAAAGUUACAUUUUGUUUGAAGUAUUUAUGAUUCUGUUUUAUUCUUUUGCAUGUUUUCUUGGCUGAAUGGGAGU